UUGGAGGAAAAGAGAGAGGGUUGUGUUUUCUGACACUUGGUGGUGGAGAAGGAUCUUCCUCGAUACUUGUAAAUGGAUGAUUGAUGCCUCACUUACUGAAACUCUAUCAUAUAUGCUCCUUUCUCUGGCUCUCUCUGGCACCAGUGGAUAAAGUUUAGGUUUCCCCCCAGACCAGUGACGGCCUGUUCAUAAACCCGCACGGCGGACAGAGCAGACCUGAUGAAAAUGGCGUGCAAACCUGCUUGGAAGAAAACCAGACUUGCUUUCAUUUGGUUCUAGAGAGAGAAGGGGAAAGGACCCUCUGUUAACAGUUUCAUGUGUGGCAUUGUUUUCAUAAUAAAUUGCACUAAAUGUUGCCCUAAUGACA